rnacentral:rRNA from 1 species
AUUGAACGCUGGCGGCAUGCUUUACACAUGCAAGUCGAACGGCAGCACGGGUGCUUGCGCCUGGUGGCGAGUGGCGAACGGGUGAGUAAUGCGUCGGAACGUACCGAGUAGUGGGGGAUAACGCAGCGAAAGUUGUGCUAAUACCGCAUAUUCUGUGGGCAGGAAAGCGGGGGAUCUUCGGACCUCGCGCUAUUCGAGCGGCCGACGUCUGAUUAGCUAGUUGGUGGGGUAAAGGCCUACCAAGGCGACGAUCAGUAGCGGGUCUGAGAGGAUGAUCCGCCACACUGGGACUGAGACACGGCCCAGACUCCUACGGGAGGCAGCAGUGGGGAAUUUUGGACAAUGGGCGAAAGCCUGAUCCAGCCAUGCCGCGUGUCUGAAGAAGGCCUUCGGGUUGUAAAGGACUUUUGUCAGGGAGGAAAUCCUGCUGGUUAAUACCUGGCGGGGAUGACAGUACCUGAAGAAUAAGCACCGGCUAACUACGUGCCAGCAGCCGCAGUAA